UACAGAGGGGGCAAGCGUUGUUCGGAAUUACUGGGCGUAAAGGGCGCGUAGGCGGCCGCCUAAGUCGGACGUGAAAUCCCUCGGCUUAACCGGGGAACUGCGUCCGAUACUGGGUGGCUCGAAUCCGGGAGAGGGAAGUGGAAUUCCAGGUGUAGCGGUGAAAUGCGUAGAUAUCUGGAGGAACACCGGUGGCGAAGGCGGCAUCCUGGACCGACAUUGACGCUGAUGAGCGAAAGCUAGGGGAGCAAACGGG
rnacentral:rRNA from 1 species